rnacentral:tRNA from 1 species
GGGCCUGUGGCGGAAUUGGCAGACGCAGGGGACUUAAAAUCCCCCGGGUGUAAUAACCCGUGAGGGUUCGAGUCCCUCCGGGCCCA